rnacentral:lncRNA from 1 species
CAGUGGCACUGGAAAUUUUUAUUCUGUUUUAUCCCUUGAAGAUUACCUAUGUAUUUAAAUUAAUUUCAUGAAGAAAUGAAAAGAAAAAAAUGAGAGGAACUCUCCAGGGGACUCUUCACUUUCAUGGACUUUUUUUCUGUUCAUUUUUUUGCCUCUGUUUUUUCUACUGGUCCAACCUCUUGAAAAAUAAAACUGAAUUCCAACAUGGACCAUCCUCAUUCAGUCACAAUGUGAUUUUACUCCUCCUCAUGGAUACUGUGAAAAUAUUUUCAAUUAAGGAUAAAGACAACUUUGUAGCUACACAACUUAAGCAGUGGCCUGGACCUAUCAAGAGGCACAAAUGAUGACCUUGAGAUUGUACAAACCUCAGCUGGACCACUGCCCAGAACGCCUAAGUGAAACAAUUUUAAAGAAGAAGCAACAGUGUUUGGUCCACUAGCUGCUGAGAUAAAUGAGAGAAAGAAUUUCAAGGACUGUAAAGCCUGAGAAAAUGGUUUGGAUGAAAGUCAACAGUUAGAAACAGAACAACUUAAAGGUUUUAAAUAUAGAAAUGUUGUGUGAGAUCAGCCCCUGGUGGUCACCUUGACUACUACAGUUGCUAGAGUUUGGAGGGGAGGUGGCUUGAUAGUGGAGUGUUCAUGACACAUCAGACUCACGAAUGUUCCAAACGUAAGCUGACUCCAGAUGGCAGACAUACACCAUUCUCUCUAUGCAGGUCAUAUGAUAUUAAUCUUUGUCUUCAGUUGCUUUCCUCCUUUGAAGAAAAAAAAUACCAGAAACUUCUUAAAAGGAAAAUAAUCCCACGUUAUCUUGCCUUUUCCCUCACUCUAUCCUCACCUUGGGAUUCUUCAGAACCCCUCCCACAGUGUCAGGAUGCAAAGCUUUCCAGGUAGAGAAGCAGGGAUGAGCACUGCAGAAAUGGG